rnacentral:rRNA from 1 species
UACGGGGGGGGCAAGCGUUGUUCGGAAUUACUGGGCGUAAAGGGUUCGUAGGUGGCUUGCUAAGUCAGACGUGAAAUCCCUCAGCUUAACCGGGGAACUGCGUCUGAUACUGGAUGGCUUGAGAUUGGGAGAGGGAUGCGGAAUUCCAGGUGUAGCGGUGAAAUGCGUAGAUAUCUGGAGGAACACCGGUGGCGAAGGCGGCAUCCUGGACCAACACUGACGCUGAGGAGCGAAAGCCAGGGGAGCAAACGGG